GAGAGAGAGAGAGAGAGAGAGAGAGAGAGAGAGUAUUGAACUAAUCAAAUUUCUGUUUAUUUUAGGAGAAGAGUGUUUAGAAAAUUUAGGAAAAUUAAUUGUUUGUAACAACUUAAUCCUAGAUUAAGAUUAACAAGUUUCCCUUUAAGGUUACAUGUAGUUUAUCAUUAUGAAUAGAAUGAUGUAUUAUGGACUAGCGUGGUUCAUAAAAGUGGGUCGGAAAAACUUGUAAAACAGGAACCAAUUGAUCGCAUAAUUGAAAAAUAUUGCGGUUAUUUUUAGCACUAUUCAACAAAUAAAUACAGUUAAAAGUAGCUGGAUAUAGUAUUUUAUUUACUUUGAAUUUGAAUGGACGGCACAGUCAACAAAUAACGGUUGCAUAAAGACUUCCUGCUGUGCCUUCCUCUGAAACAUAAUACCAUCAACCAAUGGAAGGCUGGGUGAAUGGGGCAUGCACAAAACAGUUUACAGUACGAAUGAUAGGACAUACGGAUUAACAACAACGGAAUUUUGAAUUACCACAAAAUAUAAUGAUUCAUCUGUUUGAAUAAUGACCGAAAUAUUUGAUAUUGUGUGUGAAAGAGAAGAAAAGAAUUAUAUAUAUGGAUGCCGACGGUUGGAUAAAUGAAGAAAGAAAAAAAGAAAUAAAGCAACAAAUGAAGUCGGCCUAGUUAUGAUCGCUGUGUUGGUUUACACAUAAAAUCCCUGUGACACCACCUCGACCUGGAAGCCUGAGGAGGAAAGACACACUAUGCGUAUGUCGAUGAUUCGAGAACUCUUUAAAACAUGACCAAAGAGUAGUAUCGGUGAUUUUCUAAGGGAUAUUAAUCAACGAAUUAUUGAAAUGAUGAGUAGUGACGGUGACUAGUUUAUUUACAACACCUACCAUCGGUGGAAAUCCUUAUAAAAUGCACCUAGUGAUGAUAAUUUUUGCUUUUAUCUUUUAUGAUAUAAUUCUUUUCUGUCAUUGAUAAUCCCGUUAAAAAGGAAAACGUAUUUUGACCCACAGAAAGAGCAGACUCCGACAAAUCUAUAUUUUUAUUUGACAGUGAUAAACAAAGUGUUUUUGAUGGAUUUUAUUUUUUUGUGUGCAUGCACCAGCUAUGUAAUCUAUGUUGGUUAAUAAGUCAUCGUAGAUCCACCAAGUAUGUAAAUCUAAAGUGAAAUGUGCUUGUUUAUGUUGAGUCCAACAAGGUAAAUUCAUUCCACUAGUCUGCAUCAGCGAAAACUAAAAAUAUGUUAAUGUGAUCUUUCUGGUGGAUUCACCAACUUUCUUGUCUUGUAUAGAAGCUAAAUUUUUCAUCUUUUGUGAUUGCCAAACCUGCUCUAUUUAACACAGCGAUUUAUUAACAGCUUUUAAUCUUUUAAAAAUUCUUGGUGAGUCCACCAAUUUGGAACUCUAGUUUCAUUUCAUAUUUCGCACAAUUUUAUAUUGGUGGAUCCACCAAGUAUUGAAAUAGCGACAGCAUUUUUCAAUUUGGACAAGUUCCUAAAAUUUGUUCACUGUAGUAUUUAUAUAUUGACAUAUUAUUGACAUAUUAGAAAAUUUUACCUCUUUGACUAUUGGUGGAAUCACCAAACAAUGUUUGCAAAAUUGCGUAUUUUUAGGCAUUCGAAAGUUUUUGUUUUUGUCAAAUGUUCUAUCAUUGCUUUGUUGGUGGGUUCACCAAUUCUUUGAAUGAAAUACAAAACUGUAUACAAAUUCACAAUUGAUUUUUGGUGGAACCACCAGGGUUCUAGUUUCCAGUGUGAAUGAGAUAUUUUAUGCUCUUCAAAAUAAUAGAAUUGCCAAUAUCUUAUUAUUGGUGGACCCACCAAGUUUAUUUGAAAGUGAGAUAGUCGAUGAAUACAAUUGGUGGAAUCACCAGGGUCCUGUGUACUUGAUAUAUUUGAUGCUGUUUUAAAUAACAGAAUCGCCUUUAUCUUAUUAUUGGUGGACCCACCAAGUUUUUUCGUAAGUGAAACAAUCGAUGAAUGAAAUUGGUGGAAUCACCAAUAUUAUGACUGUCAUUGUGGAAUAUGAAGGUUUAAAGAUACUGUAAAAUGUGCUUUUGUGUAAAAAAGAUGGUGGGUUCACCAAUUUAUGUUGUGUUCAACGACCAAAAUGAAUAAAAUUCAUGUUCAUUUC